AGUGGAGUAAAAGAGAUUAAAUAGUAAAAAGGUUUAAGGGAAGCCGGUCAAAAACAUGCUCCAGUGCUUGAACCCGUUUCCGGGGUGUUUUGAAAAAUGGUUGAAUGGACCUGAAAAAAUAGGUGUGACACGCUGAGCCAGAAAGCCUAUAGUAAAAGCCCGACGCGGAGACCCGAAAGGGAGGAGGCGGCGGGGGGUUGACAAAGCCGGGCCAGAUGGAUAGACUGGCAAGGUUGUUCGGAGCCGGAAACGGUUUCCGGGCAAGAAACAAGCGGAACAAAAGAAACAAGCGGAUCAUUGACAACUAAAUAGGAGCAGCAACGAUCGACGGGCCCGCAGAAACACGUUCUUUCCGAAAGGGAAGGACAAAAAGAGCAAAUCUGGAGAGUUUGAUCCUGGCUCAGAACGAACGCUGGCGGCGUGCCUAACACAUGCAAGUCCGACGUGAAAGGGGAGCAAUCCCCCGGUAGGGUGGCAAACGGGUGAGUAAUACAUGGGUGAUCUACCCUGGAGAUGGGGAUAUCCCUCCGAAAGGGGGGGCAAUACCG
rnacentral:rRNA from 1 species